rnacentral:misc_RNA from 1 species
GCAAACUUGGUCAUUUAGAGGAAGUAAAAGUCGUAACAAGGUUUCCGUAGGUGAACCUGCGGAAGGAUCAUCACUGAUUCGGGGGUGCGCCACGCGGCAGGCAACUGCUGGCGUGUAGUGUACUACCCAACCAAUCUUGUGUGAACCGUGUAACGAGCGCGCACUGCGUGUGGUGGAGAUUGGUUGGCGAUGAUACGCGGGGGGGGGACACCACCCGCCGCCGCCGCCGACCAACCAUCAUGCGCGAGCAUAUUAUCUCCUUACAAUCUUGUCUAACAUUACACACACUAAUUACACAACUUUUAACAAUGGAUCUCUUGGCUCUCGCAUCGAUGAAGAACGCAGC